GACGAACGCUGGUGGCGUGCUUAACACAUGCAAGUCGAACGAGACGAUUGAAAGCUUGCUUUUAAAAGUCGAGUGGCAAACGGGUGAGUAACGCGUAGACAACCUGCCUUUGAGAUGGGGACAACAGUUCGAAAGGACUGCUAAUACCGAAUGUUGUAUAUUUUCCACAUGGAAGAUAUAUUAAAGAUGGCCUCUAUUUAUAAGCUAUCGCUCAAAGAUGGGUCUGCGUCUGAUUAGCUGGUUGGUGGGGUAACGGCCUACCAAGGCGACGAUAAGUAGCCGGUCUGAGAGGAUGAACGGCCACAUUGGGACUGAGACACGGCCCAGACUCCUACGGGAGGCAGCAGUGGGGAAUCUUCCACAAUGGACGAAAGUCUGAUGGAGCAACGCCGCGUGAGUGAAGAAGGGUUUCGGCUCGUAAAGCUCUGUUGUCGGGGACGAAUGUGCAGUAUUUGAAUAAAGUACUGCAAUGACGGUACCUGACGAGAAAGCCACGGCUAACUACGUGCCAGCCGCCGCAGUAA
rnacentral:rRNA from 1 species